GACGUAAAUGUACAUGUGAUUUCUAUUUUCAGUUUGUGGAAAUGCAUCCUUUGACAGAAAUAUAGCUGUUGAUAUUGCGAUCAUUGUUAACGGAGAGCCUGUUUGGACCACCAAAAUAACAAGUCCGAAACCUCCUCGGGUCUGUAAGAAAAUCAAGAAUUUUGAGGUUUGCCUGUUCUUUGACCACGUUUCUAUCGAUCUGAAUGCCAAAACUUUCUUUGGAUGUGUAAAUUUUAAAUUUUCGAUUGGACCAGCGGUUAAACUUGGUUGUUUUCAACUGCCUCCGAAGUCACAACACCAUUCAAACCGAAACCAAAAACCCGGGCUUUAGAACAUCCCUCUGAUACACUCCAUACUGAGUUUCAAUGAAUUGUUCAUCUGACAAACAAUGCAUAAUGUUAUUCAUCUUUGAAAACAUCAGUUUGAAACCUUCCUUACAAAAUGAAAUAAAAUGGAUCAUUAUAUAAUUUUGUUGACCAAUAUUUUGUUGGACGUGUUAAAUUAUACUUUAAUUACCGAAUUUAAAAAGUUUAUUAGCAGAGAAACGCAGCACCUUUACGUAAAGUAUUCAUGCACCUGUGAAAUUCCUCGAUUUUACUUCCUCCAAAAUCACCAAAUGAUGAUUUCCUGGUGAUCAAAAAUAAAAAUCCAGGGAAAACCAGGAAUACAUUUGGUUACGCAUGUGUACAUGACUGAGCAGAAGGAUUACUAAUUAAUACAUUAGCCUACUUUUUUUUACGUUUGCUUGUGAUGUGACGCGAUGUCCAAGCCUUCCACUCUAGAGACUUAAGUGUUGAUCUGCAGGACCAGGAAAGUUUCCAUCGGAUACUCCAGUUUCCUCUCACGGUAAACGCCUUCAUAUGCUCCCAUCCUCUCGCAUCUAUCCACGCCAACAAGUGAUUGAAUUUCAAGUAAUGGAGUAAGCCAACGAGAUUUCAGCCCGAGAAUGAAGUUAAUUCUCCAACAGUGUAAUCAUGAUAGACUGAAUAAUAAACUGUGUAUAUUGUCAUACUAUACCAAAAGUAUCUUCAUCUAACAGUUUGAAGUUCUGUAUAAUUUUGUUUUGAAUUUGAAAUGAAUAAAUACUGUAUUGCAUCACAAA